rnacentral:rRNA from 1 species
UACGGAGGAGGCAAGCGUUAUCCGGAAUUAUUGGGCGUAAAGCGUCCGUAGGUGGCUCUUCAAGUCUGCUGUCAAAGAGUGGGGCUUAACCCUGCAAAGGCAGUGGAAACUGAAAGGCUAGAGAGCCGUAGGGGUAGAGGGAAUUCCCGGUGUAGCGGUGAAAUGCGUAGAGAUCGGGAAGAACACCCGUGGCGAAGGCGGCUCUCUGGGACGGUACUGACGCUGAGACGCGAAAGCGUGGGGAGCGAACAGG